GCCAGGCGUGGUGGUGUGUGCCUGUAGUCCCAGCUACUGGAGAGGCUGAGGUGAGAGGAUCGCUUGAGUCCAGGAGUUCUGGGCUGUAGUGCACUAUGCCGAUCAGGUGUCCGCACUAAGUUCGGCAUCAACAUGGUGACCUCCUGGGAGCAGGGAACCACCAGGUUGCCUAAGGAGGGGUGAACCGGCCCAGGUUGGAAAGGGAACAGGUCAAAACUCCCGUGCUGAUCAGUAGUGGAAUUGAGCCUGUGAAUAGCCACUGCACUCCAGCCUGGCAACAUAGCAAGACCCCAUCUCU
rnacentral:SRP_RNA from 1 species